rnacentral:rRNA from 1 species
CAAAUGCCAUGCCUCAGUACGGCGAGUGAGCGGCAAAAGCUCAAAUUUGAAAUCUAGCACCUUCGGUGUUCGAGUUGUAAUUUGAAGAUGGUAACCUUGGGUUUGGCUCUUGUCUAUGUUCCUUGGAACAGGACGUCAUAGAGGGUGAGAAUCCCGUCUGAUGAGAUGCCCAUUCCUAUGUAAGGUGCUAUCGAAGAGUCGAGUUGUUUGGGAAUGCAGCUCUAAGUGGGUGGUAAAUUCCAUCUAAAGCUAAAUAUUGGCGAGAGACCGAUAGCGAACAAGUACAGUGAUGGAAAGAUGAAAAGAACUUUGAAAAGAGAGUGAAAAAGUACGUGAAAUUGUUGAAAGGGAAGGGCAUUAGAUCAGACUUGGUGUUUUACGAUUAUCUUCUCUUCUUGAGUUGUGCACUCGUAUUUCACUGGGCCAGCAUCGAUUCGGAUGGCAAGAUAAUGGCAGUUGAAUGUGGCUUCACUUCGGUGGAGUGUUAUAGCUUCUGCUGAUAUUGCCUGUCUGGAUCGAGGGCUGCGUCUUUUGACUAGGAUGCUGGCGUAAUGAUCUAAUGCCGCCCGUCUUGAAACACGGACCA